GCCAUCAUACCCCCCUAGACUAUAAUCAUUGUACUUUAAAAUCUCUUGAAAUCUUGAAGCAAUAAUGACUUUGGUACCUAUAAAGAUUUGCUAUAUUUAUGUGUGUACUUCUAAGAUAUUUACAUUAGUCCUAGACCUAACUGGAUCAUAAUUAAAUACAUCAUUAAGGUUCUAAUCCUCCUCAUUUCAUUACAUUUAAUGUGAAGCCCCGGAAAAAAUGCAUUUGAAUUAUUUUCUUAAAGCCCCUUAGUUUCUUAAAUUAUUUCGAAUCUUGCCAGUUAGCAUUUUUAAUUUUUAUCGGAACAAGAAUAUCCUAGCCUAAUUAGGUUCCUUAGCCUAAUUUAAUUUAAUUAUACAUAAGUAAGGUUCCAAUACAUGAGUUUAAUUCCAAGCCCUCAAUUCUUUAUUUAAAUUCUAAACUUACCCCAAAACUAGUACUUGUACCUUGUACCUUGAAGUACCAUCAAUCAUGUAAUAUAAAUAUAUGUAUACAUCUUGAAGAGUGUACCCUAGGACAUAAAAUAAUAAAGAAUUUGCCCUCCACACUUCCCUAUGGCUGCCCUUCCUUGGAGAAUGUGAGAAAUCAAAUUCCAAGAAACACCAUUAUGAGAUUCUAGGAAAAUAUACAACCUAGUGACCUACCUAGGAUACAAAAUCCAAGAAUUAGUUUUAUUACAACUAGAUGUGGCCUAAACCAAUGGAAUACACCUCCUAAGUCCCUUCCAUUCCUUUAGAAUUCAAGAAAAAUCAUAACUUUCCAUCCAAUUCCAACUAAAGGGCUUUUAUGUCCUUUUGCCACCAAUUUGCCUAUAUAUACCACACCCUCCCUAGCUUGCUAACAUACACACAACACACUCACUCACACACAUUUUGGUUAGAGAGAGGGGGGGAGAGCAAGGAAGAGAAGUCUAGAGGAGAAGAGGGAGGGAGAAAAGAGUUUCUUGUGCAAAGUUUGGAAGGUGACGAAGAGGAACUCAUAGCUGGAGACGUCGAACCUAAAACCUUUGAAGACUUUUGGCUAUCCUAGAAUAUUAGAAGUUUCCUUUUGGAUAUUUUGUAAGACUCAUGCGAAGUUUAAAACUUUCUUUUUGGGAUGUAAUGUAAUGGAAUAAUCUUUUGAAUCAAGUAUAAUUGUGGUUGUUAUGUAUC